rnacentral:tRNA from 1 species
GCUCUCAUAGCUCAAUGGAUAGAGCACGGGCCUUCUAAGCCUGGGAUCUAGGUUCGACUCCUAGUGGGAGCA